UUUUCGUUCAAAGUGAACGAAGCAUAUAUACAUAGUAAAACUGACCUGCUUUUCAAUGCAUACAUACUGUAGGUGGAAACCAGACAUGAUUCGAAGCAGUUUAGAGACUUUAAUACACUGACACACUCCUUUUCUCCAGAUAAUCUGACUCCCCGUGACUGCAGGGACACAUGCUGUGUAUGUGAAUUGGUACGUUCAGAUUGUUUUGAUGUAUUACUACUUAAGUGAAUGUUCGUGUCUUGCAGUGGACUGGCGUCCCACCAUGGAAAUACUUUGUCUUACAUCUUGCAAUCCCUGGGGUUGAAAUUCUUAUCCGGAGUAACAGUUGUUUGCUUGUUUAUUCGUUUGAUUGUUUAUUUAACAAAGCAGGACAGAUGCGGUUUUAAGGGAACUGGAACAUGACGAAAAUCUGGUCACGUGUCUUGUGCCCUGUCAGGACAGCAGCCUCCUUUUACCCGUCGUACACAUCGGCAUUAAUAGUAAGGAACAGAGAACAACAGUGAUCUAUAUGGGGCUUAAAUGGCUUAGCGUUUCAUACACAGCACUGCGGACGUCUAUAUUUGUAUAUAUUACACAGCACCUUCUCCUGGUCUUCUGAGGGAAACGUCAGCCUUUUUGAAACAUCACCGCCUACUGCAUCCACCCCAGCAGCUCAGAUGAGAUAGCGAUUGAGACCUCUUUCCUGUUUCGUGAGCCCCCCCCAGAGGCGCCGCCCACCUGCCACGCCGCCUCGACCGCCGAGGAAGGCUCUUACUGUCCGUCGGUGACUGUCAAACUCAUGAGGAGGCCAGCUGGAGGGACGGAUGUGCCCGCGAGUGUAGGUGGCUGCAGUGAUCUCGCGCAGUGAGCCCCACUGAGAGCCCAGCGCACCCCGGCGAACGGCAGUGCCAUGAACUGGGCUUGGCAUUAAUCACUGAAAAUCUGUGUCACUUAAUUGUCAGAUUCCUGUUCUAAUUGCACAUAAUUUAUUUGCACACAAUUGACUGUUCUUUAUUUUUAGUUGCACAAUAUUCUGUUUUCACAAUAUUUAAUUUGCAUGCCAUUUACUUUUGCAAUAUAUAUUUUUUUCCUUGUAAUCUGAUUAAUGAGAGGAAUAACGGAGGUAGAUGAAGGUUUCUAAAAGUUCCAGACUUUUUGGCUUGAUAGGUGCUUUGAACAGGUUGUUUGUGAAUCGCAUCAGAAACCCUGCAUAGGAGAAGAGCCGGUAUUAACAUAUCAAAUAAUAAAAUGUCCUUUAGAUGGUUUGAUCA